GUGUCGUGUCCUGAGCUGAGGUGUCGUGUCGUGUGCUGAGGUGUCGUGUCGUGUCGUGUCCUGAGCUGAGGUGUCGUGUCGUGUCCUGAGCUGAGGUGUCGUGUCGUUUCCUGAGCUGAGGUGUCGUGUCGUGUCCUGAGCUGAGGUGUUGUGUCGUUUCCUGAGCUGAGGUGUUGUGUUGUUUCCUGAGCUGAGGUGUUGUGUCGUUUCCUGAGCUGAGGUGUUGUGUUGUUUCCUGAGCUGAGGUGUUGUGUCCUGAGCUGAGGUGUUGUGUUGUGUCCUGAGCUGAGGUGUCGUGUCCUGAGCUGAGGUGUCGUGUCCUGAGCUGAGGUGUCGUGUCCUGAGCUGAGGUGUCGUGUCGUGUCCUGAGCUGAGGUGUCGUGUCGUGUCCUGAGCUGAGGUGUCGUGUCGUGUCCUGAGCUGAGGUGUCGUGUCGUGUCCUGAGCUGAGGUGUCGUGUCGUGUCCUGAGCUGAGGUGUCGUGUCGUGUCCUGAGCUGAGGUGUCGUGUCGUGUCCUGAGCUGAGGUGUCGUGUUGUGUCCUGAGCUGAGGUGUCGUGUCGUGUCCUGAGCUGAGGUGUCGUGUCGUGUCCUGAGCUGAGG